ACACGGAGUGAGUGGCGAACGGGUGAGUAACACGUGGGUAACCUGCCCAGAAGUAGGGGAUAACACCUGGAAACAGAUGCUAAUACCGUAUAACAGAGAAAACCGCAUGGUUUUCUUUUAAAAGAUGGCUCUGCUAUCACUUCUGGAUGGACCCGCGGCGUAUUAGCUAGUUGGUGAGGUAAAGGCUCACCAAGGCAGUGAUACGUAGCCGACCUGAGAGGGUAAUCGGCCACAUUGGGACUGAGACACGGCCCAGACUCCUACGGGAGGCAGCAGUAGGGAAUCUUCCACAAUGGACGCAAGUCUGAUGGAGCAACGCCGCGUGAGUGAAGAAGGGUUUCGGCUCGUAAAGCUCUGUUGUUAAAGAAGAACGUGGGUAAGAGUAACUGUUUACCCAGUGACGGUAUUUAACCAGAAAGCCACGGCUAACUACGUGCCAGCAGCCGCGGUAAUACGUAGGUGGCAAGCGUUAUCCGGAUUUAUUGGGCGUAAAGCGAGCGCAGGCGGUCUUUUAAGUCUAAUGUGAAAGCCUUCGGCUCAACCGAAGAAGUGCAUUGGAAACUGGGAGACUUGAGUGCAGAAGAGGACAGUGGAACUCCAUGUGUAGCGGUGAAAUGCGUAGAUAUAUGGAAGAACACCAGUGGCGAAGGCGGCUGUCUGGUCUGCAACUGACGCUGAGGCUCGAAAGCAUGGGUAGCGAACAGGAUUAGAUACCCUGGUAGUCCAUGCCGUAAACGAUGAUUACUAAGUGUUGGAGGGUUUCCGCCCUUCAGUGCUGCAGCUAACGCAUUAAGUAAUCCGCCUGGGGAGUACGACCGCAAGGUUGAAACUCAAAAGAAUUGACGGGGGCCCGCACAAGCGGUGGAGCAUGUGGUUUAAUUCGAAGCUACGCGAAGAACCUUACCAGGUCUUGACAUCUUCUGACAGUCUAAGAGAUUAGAGGUUCCCUUCGGGGACAGAAUGACAGGUGGUGCAUGGUGUCGUCAGCU
rnacentral:rRNA from 1 species